GGGUGGCGCGCUGCAGACCUGCGGGGCCGCUCCCCGCCUGGGAGGGGCCCUGCGCGGCCGGGGCGGCCCCGGAGCGUGGACUUCCGCUCGCAGCGCCCGGGGAUCCGCAGAAAUGAGCUGCAGGGGCGGCUGCCGCGGGCCCCAGGAGGUGCGCGGGACGACGGGCGACGGUAGUGAACAUACGGUGCGAUGUUGGUUUCAGGAGUAGAAUUCAGUGGUUCAUCACUGACAACACCCCAUGCUCAUCACUACAGGUGCCUCCUUCAUGCCCACCCUCCCCACCUCCGUACAUCAGCCCUCACCUUGUUCUCUGGUGUUUGGUUCUCUGGGCCGGAGUACCUAAGGGGCUGCGUCCCGCACGCUGCGAUGCGCGGGCAGCUGGGGGAGGUCUCUGCGUGCAGGUGGCUCCCGUCUUGGGGCGCCAGUGGGGUCACCUCCCCCGCGUGUGAAUGGCAAGCAAGCUCAGUUUCCUCUUCUAUAACCAACUAAAUAUCCGAAAACGUCAGCACGGAGGUCAUUUGUGCUUCUGUUGGUCUGCUGAUCGUUUCAUUUAAAGGUUUGAAAAACCAGUUCUAAAUAAAAGGACGACUUGAAACUCUU